UACGAAGGGGGCUAGCGUUGUUCGGAAUUACUGGGCGUAGAGCGCGUGUAGGCGGGUCGUUAAGUCGGGGGUGAAAGCCCAGAGCUCAACUCUGGAACUGCCUUCGAUACUGGCGACCUGGACCCAAGUAGAGGCGGGUGGAAUUGCGAGUGUAGAGGUGAAAUUCGUAGAUAUCGGGAGGAACACCGGUGGCGAAGGCGGCGACCUGGGUCGAGACUGACGCUGAGGCGCGAAAGCGUGGGGAGCAAACAGG
rnacentral:rRNA from 1 species